UACGUAGGGUGCAAGCGUUAAUCGGAAUUACUGGGCGUAAAGCGUGCGCAGGCGGUGAUGUAAGACAGUUGUGAAAUCCCCGGGCUCAACCUGGGAACUGCAUUUGUGACUGCACAGCUUGAGUGCGGCAGAGGGGGAUGGAAUUCCGCGUGUAGCAGUGAAAUGCGUAGAUAUGCGGAGGAACACCGAUGGCGAAGGCAAUCUCCUGGGCCUGCACUGACGCUCAUGCACGAAAGCGUGGGGAGCAAACAGG
rnacentral:rRNA from 1 species